UGAGGAAUAUUGGUCAAUGGACGGAAGUCUGAACCAGCCAUGCCGCGUGCAGGAAGACGGCCCUAUGAGUUGUAAACUGCUUUUGUACGAGGGUAAAUCCCGAUACGUGUAUCGGGUUGAAAGUAUCGUACGAAUAAGGAUCGGCUAACUCCGUG
rnacentral:rRNA from 1 species